rnacentral:rRNA from 1 species
GUUAGCAACGAUAACACGUUGAAUUCACCUGUUCUUAAUGGAUCACUGAAGUUCAACAACGUUGCGUGUGGUUGCUAUCUGGAUGGGUGACCAUCUAAAAGGAAUUUCGCUAAAA